AUGCUUCUUCCACGUAAAAAUUUUGUAACAGAGAGAAAGCAAAAUUCUGUUUUCAGAGAGUGAAAGAGAGAGAUUAAUGGCAUCCAAUUUCCAUCCUAUUUUAGAUAAUGAGAUGAACUCACCACCUCGAGAGCGAGAGUUAAUCAUGCACAUGAGUACCCAGCAUGUUCUUCCCUGGACUGAAUCCUCCAACCAGAUACCGCCACGCAAAGAGUCACUGCUGGAUCCACCUAGCUAGUUGGGUAGGGUUAACGAUCCCCGUGAUGUGGGCCCCAUCGGUCUUCAAUAUGCUUGCCACCUCAGCAUAACUCUUAUUGUGCUCUUUCUUCCAUCCCGGCUUCCCUCUCUUAGAUUGGACCGAGCCGCCGGCUAAAGGCACCGCCUCAGCCCGGAUCGAAUCGUUGCCCGAACAAAGUGCCUUUUGUCAAAAACUCGUAAGCCAUGUACCCAGCCAGCAACCGAUUAGAAGAAACGGACUCUUCAUCAGCUUUUAAAGCCGGCUUAGCUGAGAGCUGAGCCAAAGACAAUGGCUUCGUCGGAUAAAAUGCCUCUCGCUCCUUGCGCUUCUUGGAAGCGCCAGGUGGCAAAAUCCUACGAGGAUGAUAGCUCAUCUUCAAAGUGAAAACAUGCCACGUCA
rnacentral:misc_RNA from 1 species